rfam:Cavia porcellus supercont2_32 genomic scaffold, whole genome shotgun sequence.
AGAUGUGAGGAAGACAUCUGUCACCACCUUGAUCGCCAGGUUGAUGUGACCGAUUGGGCCGACUAGGCGGAUGGCCUCUUCCUUCUUUACCAGUCCCUGUGCAUCCCUCCCAAAGCGACCACCCCACAGAAAGAGGCCCUUCCCGCCCUCAAGGAAUAGGAGGAGCUGUGCUCCCGCAGGGAGCCACCAAACAAUCCCUCAGAAUGUGUUCUCUAUAUAUACCAAGUCCACACAAGGAGUAUAAACAGGAAGUACUGGAAAAAUGUACUCAAACAAAAAAACUAAGACAUAAUAUUGUGACAUUUCUUUUUCUUU